rnacentral:rRNA from 1 species
AUUGAACGCUGGCGGCAUGCCUUACACAUGCAAGUCGAACGGUAACAGGUCUUCGGAUGCUGACGAGUGGCGAACGGGUGAGUAAUACAUCGGAACGUGCCCGAUCGUGGGGGAUAACGGAGCGAAAGCUUUGCUAAUACCGCAUACGAUCUACGGAUGAAAGCAGGGGACCGCAAGGCCUUGCGCGGACGGAGCGGCCGAUGGCAGAUUAGGUAGUUGGUGGGAUAAAAGCUUACCAAGCCGACGAUCUGUAGCUGGUCUGAGAGGACGACCAGCCACACUGGGACUGAGACACGGCCCAGACUCCUACGGGAGGCAGCAGUGGGGAAUUUUGGACAAUGGGCGAAAGCCUGAUCCAGCAAUGCCGCGUGCAGGAUGAAGGCCUUCGGGUUGUAAACUGCUUUUGUACGGAACGAAAAGGCUCUGGCUAAUACCUGGGGCACAUGACGGUACCGUAAGAAUAAGCACCGGCUAACUACGUGCCAGCCGCCGCGGUAAAAC